rnacentral:lncRNA from 1 species
AGCAAGUAUAAGAGGUCAGAUUCCAAACCUGUUCUCUCACACAGGAUCAGAGAUCUAAAUUUGGGAUAUCAUCCAUUCCAAUCCCCUCAUUUGCAACUGAGGAAACUGAGACCCAGGUUAAGUGACUUGACAUGUGCACUUGGAGAAAUGAAAUUCUUCAGAAUUGUAAGUAAGGAUCUAUUGAAGCACAAGGACCAUAGACAGCCAUUCAUGAGGAGUUUAUUCUAUCACUCCUCCAAAUUGAGGUGGGGAGUGGAGGUGGAGAGAAGAAACCUGUCCUAUCUCUUCCCCAAUCAUGUUGACUCAGGGCCUCUGUGGGGCUAUGGAAGAGGAUGUAGGGAUGAAGAAUGAUGAAAUUAACUUGCUGUUUGUAACAUAGAUGAAACCUAGCAUCAGUGAUUUCCCUAAUAGCAUGCACCAUCUAUGACCUCUCAGAGUCAGGAACAAUGAAGUCCUGGGAAAAAUAAAUGUUUAAGGAGAUAAUUUAAUUCA